rnacentral:rRNA from 1 species
UGAUUUACAUUUUGAGUGAGUGGCGAACUGGUGAGUAACACGUGGGAAACCUGCCCAGAAGCGGGGGAUAACACCUGGAAACAGAUGCUAAUACCGCAUAACAACUCGGACCGCAUGGUCCGAGCUUGAAAAGAUGGUCUUCGGCUAUCUACUUUUGGAUGGUCCCGCGGCGUAUUAGCUAGAUGGUGGGGUAACGGGCUCACCAUGGACAAUGAUACGUAGCCCGACCCUGAGGAGGGUAAUCGGCCACAGUUGGGACUGAGACACGGCCCAAACUCC